rnacentral:misc_RNA from 1 species
AUUCGGAGCGGACCGAGCGUAGUCGUUGCCAGAAGCGGCUGGCUGAGAUGGAAGAUGGCAUGGGCCGUCUCAACAGGGUGUCAGUGCUGGCUGCUCGAGAAUACUUCGAGUUGCGCAAGAAGUUUGAAGACGAGUCCGAACGGAACCGAGUGCACGAGAAGGAGGCUGCCAGGCUGAAAGGAGAGCGCAAUGCGGCAGUGCGUCAGAGUGCCUUCCUCGUGGGCCAAAUGGUGCCGGAGGCAAGGCUGCUGGCAGCGCUGGACCAGGUCAAGGCUGUUGAGCUGCAGGCAGCUGCAGCCAAGGCUGAGCACGAGGCUGAGGUUCGGGCACUGCGCGAGCAGCUGGAAUCGCAGAGUGCCCCAGGGGAGACGGUGGAGGAACUGAAGCAGUGCCUGGGCGAAUCUGAGCAGAAGCUGUACGAGUCCCAGAAGAGGGUGCAGCAGCUCGAGGAGAGGGUGCGAGAGCUCAUUGUGGAACUGGACCAGAAGGCCUCUGCACCCACUGUCACCAGCGUGCCACCACCUCCUCCACCCCCACCACCACCACCACCACCACCACCCGCUCCGUUCAACCCACUCAGGUCUCUCAUGGCACUCAUUGCCAGCAGCAGAAAGACAGCUGCACCAGCUGCAGCCAGUGCAAAAGCAAAGGAAGAUCAGCUGCAGGCGAAGCUGAUGGAGGAGAUGAUUGAGCAGAUCAAGAAGGGCGUCCACUUGCGACCCACUGCGCGGCCUGUCAUGGAAGAGGAGCUAGAGGAGAAGUCCUCUUCAGAGCCAGCCGUCAAUGAAGUCCUCAGCAUACUGAAACACACAGCCCCGCACUCUCCCGUGGAAGCCUGUUUUGGCGAGCGGGGUGACAUCAAGCGUCAGAAGAGCUCCCGAGGGGUUCGUCAGUGUGGCUCGAUGGACUCCCUGGCCAGCAGCUCUUCCAGCAGCCGGGAAGAACAGAGUGAGCUGGAACGCCUCUUCCAGUCCAAGAACCUCCGUCACAGAGCUGAGGCCGACUCCGAGAGCUUGCGUUCAGUCAGGAGCCUAGACGUGGAUGCUCCAGAAAACAGCUGACCAAUGUGACCUCUUCUGUGACAACACUCAGCGUCACACCACAGGGACCACACUGUGCCUCAUACAGUAUUUCGUGCAAUGCUGCUCUCACGUGAUUGCACCUUCCAGAACAGCGAGACUUUGAUGUGCGCAUGCUCAAAGUUACGUCGCUCUUUCUAUUUAUGUUUUACUCGAGGGCACAAAAAGAACCAUCAUCAUUGUCACAGCCCAGGUUCAGUUGCUACAACUUGCAACUGAAGUGAUAUCGACAAUGCGCUGCAAUGCUUCCUGCCAACAACUGCGAACUCAGUGGGAGGGGAAAAAAAAAAGGGAACUUUUAACACCACUAUGUAUUAAUUUUGGAAACCUCCAUGAAAUGAUCAUUACCACGAUGUACUUCAACAUGCAGGGGCUUGUCGGGGCACUUGCAUUGAUUUGUGUGUAAGCAUCCUUUGAUGAUUGCCAUUGUCGUCCUAUGGUGUGCUCAUCGGGUGUCCUCACUGACGUGCAUAAUGCAUGCUCUCUUCUCCUGCUGCUGUGAAAUUUGUGCUGUUGUUUCGAUGUUCAAAGUACUCACGAGAGUAACGUCUCUCCCUGUGCUCGAACAAGGGGAUUUCCCCUUUUUUCUAGUGUUCCUCCACUUGAUGCACCACCUUGAUGUAAGACAGCGCAUCGCUGAUGCCUCUCUGCAGCUGGUGGUCAAUAAUUUUUAUUGUUAGGCACUUUCAGCAGUUACUCGAUUUUUAGGUGAUUGUAUAGCACGCUCGAUUGUGAUGCUCGCCAGAAUUUUGUGGCCAGCUAUAAAAAAAAUAUUUUUGCACGACAAGCAGAGACAAAUGCAGCGCUCUUGAUUUUUCAUUCACUGGUAUUAUAAACAUUGCAGGCAGAAGCAAACAAACUAUGUACUAAUUUUAGGUGAUAACAUGAAUUACUUGCAAUUGUACAGCAAUUAAAUGCCUCGAAUAAUUGCCGUGAGGCUAUCGCUGACUAGACUUAAAUGCAGGGAACAGUGGUACAAACCAAAGGGUUCUUUUUUUUAAAUGAAAUCGUCCCAAACAACAAAAUUUUUAUUAUACCUGUUGCUUCUGCAGUGGCUGAAUGACGACAACGCUGGAUGUCAAGCUCAGAGGAAGAGAGGGUUGUUAAUCAAACUGCUGGAUUUGCCAAGGAAUGUUAUGGAAGCAGACUUUGUAGAGAGGCUGCACAUGAAGUGGAGAGAUUGAGCAACUAAGGUUGAGAAACAAGUGCGAGACUAGGCUUUGUUGAGGAAGCGGCAUUAGUUUCUGUUUUGUCAGGGCAUCUGCUUUGUGGUACUUCACUAUGCAAUGAUCAGCAGCAGUCAAACAAGGAAUGUAAGUGGAGCCCAUUUUGUGGCAAGAAGACAGACUUACCAUGAUCGGGGCUUCUCUCGUUUUCUUUAGGAACUUCUCUUGUAGAAGCCUCCUCGUUGAAGACCUGCCUUUGAGGCCAUUGCUUUGCACGACUAAGUGUGAGGCCACGGGUUCAAUUCUCAGCCACAGCGUCCGUGUUGUGGUGGGGCCAAAAUGCGAAAACACCUGUUUACUUAGACUUAGGCGCACAUUAAAGAACCCCAGGUGCUUGAAAUCAAUCUACAAUGUGCCUACAAUCAUACCAUGGGUUCGGCAUGUAAAACUCCAGAAUUUAAUUUUCAAUUUUUUUUUGCUCAUUUAUGGAAUAUUGGCUCCAGUAGCAUCCUGUUUGACCAACACUUCAAUUCCACAUCUUCUUGUAAUCCUCUGUGUUGCCUGGUUUUGGCUGUUGGAUUGCUCUCUUGACCUUGCAGACUGUUUCGUGCAUUCACUGACAAGCUUUCUCGUGUCACAUUUUCGACAACCAGGAACCUAUCCAGGGUUUCGUCUUUGGCCGUGUAAUGUAUGCACUCAAACCCACCUAAACAAUAUCCAAGUGCCAUGGAAAUAUCAAUGUUAUAACUAGUAAUUGUGAUCCUGGCUGAAUGGAAAAUACAAAAAGGGGGCUAGGGGCAGAACUGCUCUUCUCAUAAUGGCAGUGCAACCAGCGCCAUUCUCUUCUUCCUUAGACUGCAGAGUGUACUGGGCCUUGUUCAGUUCAAAAAGUGCCCAUCACUUCGUGCUUGACACCAGGUGCACAGCUUUGCCCAUUACGCCUGAUUGACUAUAGCUGCCAACCCACACGCUCCUGCCGCGUGCAGCAAGCGGCGGUGGUCUUUUCAAAAGCUGGAAUCCUCUGCUCUCUUGGCCUACGUGGCCUUUGCACUCGCUGCAGAUUGCUUGUAAGAUAGGGAGCAGCCACGCCAGCUAAGGGAAACACAUCCCACCCUCCCAACCACAUACAGUUCAUCUCCCCUGCUGUCAUUGUGCACUUGGUUGGCAUACAUCAUUUCCCACUUGCCCUAGUACGUUUUCCUUGCAUUCACAGCUUAUGGCAUGUGAGGCAUGAUAGGAUAUCUUACGAGGAACGUCGACAGCACAGUCCAUUCACGUUCGGAGGGGUGGAAGACAGAUGAGUGACAUUCUCAUAAGGUUGGAGAUGCGGAGAAGGCUGGAAAACUGGCUCUAUCCUGUGAACUCAUGGUACACAGGUGGGUGCAGUAGCUCCCAUCGUUUCUUUUUUUUUUCCAGCACUUUCAAGCAUUCCUUUUCCUUUCUGCAAACACGUCAAGGAGCUAGAUUUGAUUGGUAUUACUGAUAAUUCAGUAUCGGAACAUUAUCGUAAGUGGUUUCUUUCACAAAGGAAAGAUACAAAUGUUCUGCUGUGUGUUGGCUGCUCAUUGUCAUUUCCAGAAUAUUGUUAAAGCUGGUAUCGUGUAUAUUUAUAUAUAUGUGUAAUUGGGGAUGAUGGGGGGUGGGGGUGUACAGACCACUGCCCACAGCCACUUUCUCUUGAAAGAGCACGUUGUGUUCAUGGGUCUACUCAGUGACACCUAUGUGCCUUAUAAGCAAAUGAAUGGUGAAGAUCCCAUUUUUUGUUUUGCUGGACACUACCACAUGAACCCAAGGAAAGCAUGGGGGUGUUAUUUGUAGCUUUUAAUUGUAUUGAAUUGUAGUUUUAACUGAGUGCUACGAAUAAGACCUCCUGUGCUUUCCUUAGCUUCAUUACUUGUUGACUUCGUAUUACAAGUGAGUGAGCUAUACUCACAGAUACCCAACAUUCUCAUUAAGAGCCUCUCUUUAUUUUUCUAAUGCGUUCCUGCAAAGCUCUCUUAGCGAACAAAUUAUUUUCGAGCUUCUGCUACAUAUUUCAAUCUUCUACUCUCCAGUUCUAGCCACUUGGAUAGCACAGAUCUUGACUGUCUGGUUUGCUAGUCCAACAGUGGCCUUGCUUUCAGUGCCAGCAAGGGGACCAACUAAUGAAUUUCAAGAGAGAUGUUUGUUUUUUAUGCCUCAUCAUACACUGACCGUGAAAACAUGGUGGGCAGUACAAAAACUUGCGUGACCUCUCAAGCUCUGCAGAUGGUGAUCAGUGAUGAUGAUAGUUUUUGCCUUUGAGUUGUCUUAGGCGAAUGCAUAAGGGACCCAGCAAGUUUUUAUUUAUACUCUAUUAAAACUGAGAGAAUUUGGCUGGCCUGUAUGUAGGGAGUUACAUUUUACUCUGCAUAGGCAAGGUUGUCAGCGACAGAAAAGGCCUAGAAGCAUUCUUUUUAUACAAUAUUGUUAGACAGCAGAAAUCAUUUCACCAGUGUUGCAUUCGCAUGUGGGUAGUGCAGGUCGUACGACGGAAAUUACUCGACAGAAUCCUUGGCUUUUUAUCACAUAUUGUUUCUUUUGUGUUUACCUUUCCUACACUCGUUUUUUCAGGUCAUCAGUUUGUAACAUGGCCAAUCGUCACCUAAUGGGGCCAAUAGAAACAAUCACCAUAGUAUUGAGACCCCUUUCAUUGCUUUUGUUCCGGCUUCCAUCAGCAUGUAACAAAUGCUCUGUGUUUAGAAGGACACAGAUGUUUGGCUGCACUGUCUACUCAAAGCCUUGUUUAAAGACUGCCUCUGUUCUUCGAAGGAGGAUGGCCUGAUGCGGUCGGUUAUUUCAAUGGCAUGUGUUGACAAUUUUUAACAUUGGCUUUUUUUUUUAAAGAGACAGGUUUCUCAACACAGAGAGUUAUGAAUACGAAAUUGUUGUCUUCUCUGCAUGUACGUUGCCAUACAAAGCAAAAUAUAUGCUUUAUGCCAACAGCUGUCAACGUUUUGGUUUUCUAGAUUUUAGUUCUAAUCUUUGAGACUGCAACAGUGCUCCGACACAUGCAAAAAAUACCCAGCUGUGACAUGUAUGUAGAGUGCUUUGACAUUGUGCACAGCACAUUGUUUUAUGCUUGAACACGCAUGAACAAAUACACAGGGGUGUGUGAUUAUUCAAAACUUCAAAUUUGGGUCGAACAACCUUGUUUUGAACCAGAGUAUUCAGUUUGAAAGCUUGACUAUCAAUCACUCAAAAUACUCAAUUUUAGUUUAACAUGCUUGGUUACUGUGACCAUUUUUGACUCCAUGCCAA